rnacentral:rRNA from 1 species
GACGAACGCUGGUGGCGUGCUUAACACAUGCAAGUCGAGCGGAGCGGCGAACGGGUGAGUAACGCGUGAGUAACUGACCCCCUCUCUGGGAUAACAGUUGGAAACGGCUGCUAAUACCGGAUAGUGGGGGAUGACUCGCGCCUUAUCAGCUUGUUGGUGGGGUAGUGGCCUACCAAGGCGACGACGGGUAGCCGGCCUGAGAGGGCGACCGGCCACAAUGGGCUGAGAUACGGACCAAACUCCAACGGGAGGCAGCAGUGGGGGAUAUUGCACAGUGGUGGAGAGCGUGAUGCAGAAACCCGCGGGCGGGAUGACGGCUUUCGGGUUGUAAACCGCUUUCAGCCAUGACGCGGUAGUGGCAGAAGAAGCACCGGCUAACUACGUGCCAGCAGCCGCGGUAAUAC